AGGAGGACGUGACGAUGACGUGAAGCAUAAACACCACUUAACACCUAUUCCGUGGGUUUCACGGUGAAACUUUCACCCCGUUGCAACGCGUUGUAGCAUGCGUUUUCGGGUUUCAUUUCUUCUGCAAACCAACUUGAAACCAAUACCUGAAAUAACGAAAAAUGCGCAAGGUCAGAUUUAUUCCACGACGCCCAUACCACAGCCCUGAACAGCUGCAACAAAUUUGCAAUUCAAGUAUGCUCAGUAAAUUUAUUUGAUGAUACCAUGGCUCACGUUGUUUGAUGGACACAUACAUUCGUUAUCAACUUUUUACUAUCUGUGCAUACCUUCAUGUUUAAUACGACCACAUAGGGAACGUCCAUAUAUUACGUCAUAAAAAAGGUUGGUGGGUGGUUUUGGGUCGCCUGUCAUAUUCUUGUUAAGCUUAGCAGGAACAGAAUAGGAAGGCGGUGGGUGGAUUAUCUUAAAAUCUUAAAAUCCCUGACGUAAUACAUGGACGUUCCCAUAGAUCGAAUGCUCUUAACAAAUAUUUGCAACACACCGUUAUAUCAUCACUGUAUUCACCUUAACUUGAGAACGCACAAUUCUUAUUAUUUAUCGGUUUAUUAGUGUUUAUUGAAAAAAUGGCAUUUGACAGCCGCCUUUCAAUUUUAUUUUCCUUAUUUCAGGGAAAUAAGGUUUUCCGGGAUGUUCUUGAAAGCAGAAGAUCGACCACUUUUGAAUAUAUUGUUGAUUUAAUAAAAAUUGUUGAAGUUUUUGAUCAGGGCUCCAAUCAAAUUGGAAAGUUGAAAGAGUUUGAUCGUUUGAAAAAAUUUUUGCUUGAGGGGGUUAGCGAAGGUGCAAGAAAUUUUGAUAAAGCAGUCUUCGUAAAGGAACUUCUUUCCAAGGUUUUGUACAUGCCUGCUUGCAUCCAAUAUUGCGAAAACUCCAGAAUUCCCUUUGCGUAUAUCCAUCACGUAAAAUUAAAUCCAGACCCCUUUAACAUUCAAUGCUAAUGAUUUCACACUGAGCGGGAUCGAAUCAAUGCUGACCACGGUGUUUGGACAGGCUGUGACCGCAAGCCGUUUCAGACAUGGAAAUGUCUUCAUCGCCAAUGCAAAUUCCGCCUCGUUCAUCUCCACCCUGGAAAGAUUUAAUUUAAUCAUGGAAUGAAAUCGGAAAGUUUAAUUUUAUCCAGCUGUAAAAACUCGAGGUUUACACAGGAACUAAAAGCCGACACGCUCGACCAAGGAAGCACGCAGUACUUGAGCUUUAUCGUGGUCAGUGUUUUCGCGAAAUUUGGCAAGGUUUGAUAAACGUGGAGAGCCCCGCGUCGUCCUGCGAGGCAAAGAAAUACUUGGGCGUCUUCAAGUGAUGGUUGAUUGGUAGAAUUUGGGGGUAGUUUCCAGGUUGAUAAGGGGUCGCCCUUUUUCUUCGGUUGGUUCAACUUUGUGGUGGACGUGGUGGAGUUAAGUUGAACAUUUUUAGGCUUCACCGGAUUAACGUCGAUGGGCUUGGUCUGAAUUUUUCCAGUAAAGCAGGGGAGUAAAUGCUCGUUCCGACAUUGGCGGAGAAGUAUGAGGAAUAUUUCCAUCUCUAUGUGCACCCUCUUGUCCAAAAGGGCAAGGUAGAGUGUACGCAUUUUAGCGACGGGGUCACGUUCUUGUACCUGCAAGUGAGAAACUGCAAGUAAGAAGUGUGGUCAAUACUUAUCUUAAAAAAAUGGAAAUUUUAAAUUUUAUCUUUUACCAAAUUUUCAUAGUGAAGGUGGUCGCGGAGUAUGCCAUUUUCUACGAGUAGGUUAAAAAACCAUUGGAAAUUUUUUGUAGAUUGAGACAAAUAAUCGAUUUUCUUGAGGAUUUGUUGUUUUAAAAAAUCCAUUUCGUUAAAUCAGAUUUAAAGUGGAUGUUUUUAAUUGUAAUAUGUCAUCUUUAUGCAGGAAUAUGUAUGUAUACUUUAUUAAAGUAAGUGAAAUUGUUUAUGGUUAAGUUAAUAUUGGUUGCAAUAUUUCACUCGGGUAAUAAUCACUAUUGAUAAGAUAACUAACAAAGGGGGCGCAAACCAUGUUCAACCCAGAUUAUUUUUUGUCUAUCGCUGUUUGAAAGAGAAAUCCUUGAGAAACAACAUUUAAGUAGUUCGACAUUUGCUCAGAUGCGCAAAAUUCAGAAUGUUAGCCUAACACUGUUAGGGACGCUGCAAGGCAGAGGUGCAAUCGCGAGGUACAGAUUCCAUUUGAAACCCCAUCGUCUUCGCAAACUUGCGGUGCCCGUAACGCGCUGAAUUUUGCGCAUCUGCACACGUGUCGCAGUAAAUGUUUUUUCUAAAUGGUUUUUCUUUCAAAAGAAGAUAGUUAAAAAAUAAUCUGGGUUGAACAUGGUUGAGCCCCCUUUGUAAGAUAAUAAUUGACAAGUUUUGAUAUGCAGAUACUUCCUACCGAUAAAGGUUACUUGGCAAAUAAAAACAUAAAUGGACAGUUU